UACGAAGGGGGCUAGCGUUGCUCGGAAUCACUGGGCGUAAAGCGCACGUAGGCGGAUCGUUAAGUCAGGGGUGAAAUCCUGGAGCUCAACUCCAGAACUGCCUUUGAUACUGGCGAUCUUGAGUUCGGGAGAGGUGAGUGGAACUGCGAGUGUAGAGGUGAAAUUCGUAGAUAUUCGCAAGAACACCAGUGGCGAAGGCGGCUCACUGGCCCGAUACUGACGCUGAGGUGCGAAAGCGUGGGGAGCAAACAGGG
rnacentral:rRNA from 1 species